rnacentral:rRNA from 1 species
CAGUCGCCACGGUAAUACGAGGGGGGCAAGCGUUGUUCGGAAUUAUUGGGCGUAAAGGGUGCGUAGGCGGUUUCGUAAGUCUUAUGUGAAAUCUAUGGGCUCAACCCAUAGUCUGCAUGGGAAACUGCGAGGCUUGAGGAUGGGAGAGGUGAGUGGAAUUUCCGGUGUAGCGGUGAAAUGCGUAGAUAUCGGAAGGAACACCUGUGGCGAAAGCGGCUCACUGGACCAUUUCUGACGCUGAUGCACGAAAGCUAGGGGAGCAAACAGGAUUAGAUACCCCGGUAGUCCCUGUCUCUUAUAC